rnacentral:rRNA from 1 species
AUUGAACGCUGGCGGCAGGCCUAACACAUGCAAGUCGAGCGAGCGGCGGACGGGUGAGUAAUGUCUGGGAAACUGCCUGAUGGAGGGGGAUAACUACUGGAAACGGUAGCUAAUACCGCAUACCAUCAGAUGUGCCCAGAUGGGAUUAGCUAGGAGGUGGGGUAACGGCUCACCUAGGCGACGAUCCCUCGCUGGUCUGCGAGGACGACCAGCCACACUGGAACUGAGACACGGUCCAGACUCCUACGGGGGGCAGCGGUGGGGAAUAUUUCACAAUGGGCGCAAGCCUGAUGCAGCCAUGCCGCGUAUGUGAAGAAGGCCUUCGGGUUGUAAGGCACUUUCAGCGGGGAGGCGUUACCCGCAGAGGAAGCACCGGCUAACUCCGUGCCAGCAGCCGCGGUAAUUC